GGUUCCGUAGUGUAGUGGUUAUCACGUUCAAUUCACUCGCGAAAGGACUGCCGUUCGAUCCCGGACGGAAUUA